GCUUAAAGGCCCGCCCCUAGGGUUUGGUACCAGAGUCAGUAAUGAGCGUCAGAUUGCAGCGCUGACGGCAUGCACUUACACAUGCAAGUCGAUAUCUAGACACCAUAGAGGCUAGCGUCUACCGGUGUCGAGCGGCGGACGGGUGAGUAAUGUCCUGGGAAACUGCCUGGGAGGUGGGGGAUCAACCACUGGAAACGGAUAGGCUAAUACCGCAUAAUGUCGCAAGACCAAAGAGGGGGACCUUCGGGCCUCUCGCCAUCAGGAUAUGCCUAGAUGGGAUUAGCUAGUAGGUGAGGUAAGGGCUCACCAAGGCGACGAUCCCUAGCUGGUCUGAGAGGAUGAUCAGCCACACUGGAACUGAGACACGGUCCAGACUCCUACGGGAGGCAGCAGUGGGGAAUAUUGCACAAUGGGCGCAAGCCUGAUGCAGCCAUGCCGCGUGUAUGAAGAAGGCCUUCGGGUUGUAAAGCACUUUCAGUCGUGAGGAAGGUAGUGUAGUUAAUAACCGCAUUAAUUGACGUUAGCGACAGAAGAAGCACCGGCUAACUCCGUGCCAGCAGCCGCGGUAAUACGGAGGGUGCGAGCGUUAAUCGGAAUUACUGGGCGUAAAGCGCAUGCAGGUGGUUUGUCAAGUCAGAUGUGAAAGCCCCGGGCUCAACCUGGGAAUUGCAUUUGAAACUGGCAGGCUAGAGUCUUGUAGAGGGGGGUAGAAUUUCAGGUGUAGCGGUGAAAUGCGUAGAGAUCUGAAGGAAUACCGGUGGCGAAGGCGGCCCCCUGGACAAAGACUGACACUCAGGUGCGAAAGCGUGGGGAGCAAACAGGAUUAGAUACCCUGGUAGUCCACGCCGUAAACGAUGUCGAUUUGGAGGUUGUGCGCCUUGAGGCCGUGGCUCCGGAGCUAACGCGUAAUCGACCGCCUGGGAGAGGGGGCCAUA
rnacentral:rRNA from 1 species